CAAAUAUGCUAACAUUAGCUUUAGCUGACGGAUUUGACUAGCUAGCUUUAACAUUUACAGUAAAGCUACAAGUUCCCUUCAAAACAAUCUGUAACCAAGGCCAGUGAAUUCACCUCCAGCCACAACCUCUCAAGCUGGGACUUCACAUCGUCUUCCUCUGCAGCCGCACACCCAUGAAAAGAACAGGAGAACAGAUCAUGAAACAUCAGUACAGCCAACAGAUUGAUCAUGAGCUGAGUGAUGUGUUACCUCGUGGUGACACUGCCUUCCUGGUGCGAGAUGGACGGCUGGAGCUGCCGUGGAGCAAAGAGAAGCACAGAAUGAUGAAGACAUGGAGGACCAGACGUGCCAUGUCUGAGGCCAGUGGAUCCUAACUGAGUGACUCAGUAGCACACCUUGUACUGCUGUGAGGGGAACCGAAAUCACUGCAUGUUGCUCAAUAUAUACUGGCCCCUCUGUAUGCCUCUGUGGGUUCCUUUCUCUGCAUUGGCUCCAGCUCUGUUUGUUUUUGUCCAAACAUCAGGAGGAGGUGAGAGAGGUAUAAGUGUGGAGGGGCAAAUAAUGACCUCCUUGUGUCUGGCUUUUCAUAAAUAUUUACUUGGGACAAGUUGAA